rnacentral:rRNA from 1 species
UACGUAGGGUGCAAGCGUUGUCCGGAAUUAUUGGGCGUAAAGAGCUCGUAGGCGGUCUGUCGCGUCUGCUGUGAAAACCCGAGGCUCAACCUCGGGCCUGCAGUGGGUACGGGCAGACUAGAGUGCGGUAGGGGAGAUUGGAAUUCCAGGUGUAGCGGUGAAAUGCGUAGAUAUCUGGAGGAACACCGGUGGCGAAGGCGGCGUUCUGGACUGUAACUGACACUGAGUGAACGAAAGCCAGGGGAGCAGACGGG